AAACAAUUGUUUAUUUGUGUCUGUGGAAUGUUUAAAAAUGUGGUAUCUAUAAAGCUGAUUUAACCCACGAAACAUUGUUAGUAUUACAUACACAUAUUACGGUAAAAGAAUUUCCUAAGGAAACUCGUAUUGAACAUUUAAUUUUUAAUAAAUAUCUUACAAUGUAUGUCUUAUUAAAAUUAUUUGAGUAUCACUUAUAAAAAAAGCUAGGAAACAUUGUUGCGGAAACAUUGUUUCCUGCCAGAGUGAGCAAACACUAGGAAACAUUAGUGAGAAACAUAGGGAAACAUCAAAUGUUUGUGAGAAACAUUUUUGCUUCUCGGGAAGCAUUGAUAAUUUCCACAACAAUGUUUCCACAACAAUGUUUCCUAGGGCCUGUUCAUAUGAUCCUGCCUUACCGAUGAUUUAAUGUGUCCUUGUAAAUAAACGAAGAAAAACACUGGAGUCGCUAAAUAUUUGUGUUGCUUGACUGAAAUGUAGAACUAUGCUAAGGCCAAUGGAAUUACAUUGUAACUUUUAAUACCUUGAAAUGUUCAGAAGUAACAGUCCAAAUGUUCACCAUCUGCUUGUAGGUGAGAAAAGUCUGCCAGUCCAGGCAGCCUGGCAACAGCAUCUUCCCUAUUUAAGGUUACGUGUUGAUUCGCUCAGAGAACAUUUGUAUAGAGACAACAUUGUAUUAACCCACAAAAUAUUGUAAGUAUCAUUUAAUUUUUAAUAAAUAUCUAUUACCUUAUGUGUAAUAACUUGAAAUGUCUAGAAGUAACAGGAUGCCAUUUCUUAAUAUAACUUCCCUAAUUUAAAAUAUCCCUUCUCUAAAUUUGAGGUGACAGAUUUAAAAAAAAGAGGUAUUGCUAAAAAUAUUAACAAUUAACUAAUCUACCAAGUAACAACAGUAGCUAAAUUUACAAAUGAGUAGUCGCAAUUAAUGUUUAUUAGAGUAGUUUCAAUUUAGGCUAGUAUAGCAAGGGGUCUAGAGGUCUUGUUAUGUUAUAACGCUGUUUUUACAUCCGAUUGCAAUCUGUCUAGCAUGUUUGGUUCUUUCUAUGAUAAAAUAUCAGAAACAAUCGAUCAAAAACCAUUUCUAUAUAAGAAAUAUAAUUUAAAGACAUAUUACAUUUAAAAUGUUAAAGAAAUCAAAUAAAUCAUUUCUGUAAAACAUGAAUGAUAAAUGAAAUGUAGAGGACGCUGUUGAAAAUCUAAAAUCCCCAUUACCAAAGAGUUUUUUUAUAUUUCCUGCUACUACUAAUGAAAUUGAAACAGAAGUAUCCCAACAUAAGACAGUGUAAUAAUUUCAAAGCCUUUAGGUUCAACUCUUCUGCCUGCCUGUGCAACUAUUGCCCUCCUGUUUAUCUUUAGUAAAGUAAACUACUAGAGAAGCUUGUUCGUAGCAGAUUGUUAGAUUUUCUUGAAAAGUAAAGCGUUUGAUACUGUAAACCAUGGUAGAGUUCUGUUAUAUAGAAAUGUGUGUUCAUAGAAUAUAGAAAAAUCAACAAACCUCCCUCAAAGAAAUCUCAAAUAAACCUUGAAUAAUAUACCAUUACAACAAGAUGAAUUUAUCUUGGUAUUUUUAUUGAUUCAACAUUUAUUAUGCUUACAACCUCUUUACUAUUUCUAGGCGCAUUUAUCACGUAAAAUAAUGCCAACAUAAUGACCAGACUUCCAAAAGUUGAUAAAAUAUAUAAAGAUAUUAAUGAUGCAGAGUAAAACCCAACCAAUUGAUUAAAACUACCUGCCCAAAUGAUUAAACAUUACCUUGUAUUGAUGGUAAGUUAUUCUAUUUUCUUAAGUCCACGAGGACGACACGAAGCCGCAAACCCAAUCUCCAACAAUUCCAAACAUGGCAUACGAAAAACCUGCCACAAAAGCAGGACAUCAUUUUGUCCUGCCUUUAUCCAUCUCGAUACGUGCAGACG